CACAUUCUUGCUGCUUCUUACACCUUACACUGUUCCUCUGCUCUAAUGGACCAUUUCUACAGGUGUGCAGUACUUGUGAAACAGAUUGCUCCAGCUGCCAGGAAACGUGUGCCUGUAUAUGCUCCUAAGCACAGGCUUCAGCUCCUGACAGCAGCCUGUUCCUGUGUGAGAUCUCCACGAGCUGUAGCUUCCAUCAGGGCAUCUCCACCUGCUCCAGAGUGGGGCUUUUCCACAGCCUGCGGGUGGGUCUCUGCUCCACUGUGGUUAUCCAGGGGCUGAACGGGACAGUUUUUCUCACCAUGGUCUUCAUCACUUGGAAGUGCCCCGGCUGUGGAGAAGGGCUGCUCCUGUCCAACCAGUUGGCACAGGUUGGCUGAGAAUCAGGAGUGGUGACAGACAGUCACCUCUGCUCUUGUCCCUGAGAGCGUCUGUCUCUGGGCAGCAGGGGUCAGGUAGUCUUCUUUUGUGGCGGGUAAUUUCCAGAAUUCCUGCUUCAUUUGCUACAGGAAUCACACAGGUGAUUAAAUACAGAGGAUCAUCACAAGCUACUGAUUGAGCUGUGUUCAGCACAGGCCUCUUGAUUGCUACAGAGCAGUGUUGGAAGAUAGUGUACAGUCAGAAAACAGCCUUGUGCAGGAAACAGCCAGCAGCACAAUGAAGAUUGCCAAAGAACAAAUUGCUGUCACAGAAUACUCCUACCAUGUCCCACAGGCCAAACAGGAAAACAAAAAACAAAUCUGUGAGUUUACCUCUAGUAUUGUUGGACCUCCUUGCUUCAGUCUCUGGCUAUUAUUGGUGCACUAUCUCACUACGCAAGGUAUUCUAUGACUCCAAACCCACACCUCACAGUACAGGAAAUGGGAACAGUGAUCUCAUUUCUUGGCCCAGCCCUGACAGACUGCCUUCAGAAGGAGAAGCUGGGAAACUGAUUUUUAAGAGUGACUCAGUAGCAUCAUCUGCAGCCCAGCCCUGA
rnacentral:lncRNA from 1 species